AGCAGCCGCGGUAAUUCCAGCUCCAAUAGCGUAUAUUAAAGUUGUUGUAGUUAAAAGCUCGUAGUUGAAUUUUGGGUUUGGCUGAUUGGUCCGUUCUUGUAACGAGUACUGGUCGGUUGGGCCUCACCGCUUGGUGAUGCGUAAUGCCCUUUAUUGGGUGUUGCGAGUAGCCAAGACCUUUACCUUGAAAAAUUAGAGUGUUUAAAGCAGGCAUAUGCCGGAAUACAUUAGCAUGGAAUAAUAGAAUAGGACAACGAUUCUAUUUUGUUGGUUUCUGGGACCGUUGUAAUGAUUAAUAGGGAUAGUUGGGGGCAUUAGUAUUCAAUUGUCAGAGGUGAAAUUCUUGGAUUUAUUGAAGACUAACUACUGCGAAAGCAUUUGCCAAGGAUGUUUUCAUUAAUCAAGAACGAAAGUUAGGGGAUCGAAGGCGAUCAGAUACCGUCGUAGUCU
rnacentral:rRNA from 1 species